CACGUAGGCGGACAUUUAAGUCAGGGGUGAAAUCCCGGGGCUCAACCUCGGAACUGCCUUUGAUACUGGGUGUCUUGAGUAUGGAAGAGGUAAGUGGAAUUGCGAGUGUAGAGGUGAAAUUCGUAGAUAUUCGCAGGAACACCAGUGGCGAAGGCGGCUUACUGGUCCAUUACUGACGCUGAGGUGCGAAAGCGUGGGGAAGCAAACA
rnacentral:rRNA from 1 species